AGUAGAGUCAGCUAAGCAAGCUAUUGGGCCCAUACCCCAAAAAUGUUAUACACCAACCUCUACUA
rnacentral:tRNA from 1 species